rnacentral:tRNA from 1 species
CCAUCAGUGGCGCAGCGGUUAAUGCAUCUCCGUACCAAGGAGACGGUCGCGGGUUCGAUCCCCGCCUGUUCAG